AAGAAAAGAAAAGAAAAGAAAACAGUAUCCUCUUUAUCUUCUCAAACAAUUACAAACACAUUCCUAUUGACUGCACUCCAUCACUGGAUAACAUAAGCCCUCAUGCCUACACUGGGAACAGAUUUUGGCUCCCAUCAGAUAAUUGUAAGUUUCCAAUCAAAAGCAACUUCAAAAUUAGCAAGAGAGCAUCCAAACAAUUCACAAUCACCCAUGUAGAUGCCAUGCUAAUAUCAGCAGAUAAACAAACUACCUAUCAUCAUUGGCGUGAUUCCUUAGGUGUGACGUAGCUUCUGCUUUCAGUGACAUUAGAGUUGGCAAGGACCUCUGGUGCAAUUUCCCAGCUCCCACUUCUCCUUCCCCAACUGGAAUGUCUAGUGUCUGACCGAAUUGUGGGAGCUCGAUGAUCUGAACUAUGAACUGAAUCCACCUCCGAGGUAUUAUGGGGAGGCCCAUUGCUUCCCCUGCUGCGUAUGUCCUCAUCAAUUUCUUCAAUAUUACGACGUUGAGAAAUUUUCAAUAGAUCUUCACCAAUCUCUAGAUCAUCUUCAACCUUCGGACGUGGAUCCCCACCUGUCUCUUCUGGUUCUGCUUCCCGAGUACUGGGCAAAGGGGGCCUUGGUACCUCCUCUUGAACAAAUGCACGAAAGUUGUUCUUUGAGGGCUUAACCUCUGUGCAAAAUACUUCAAAAAAAUUAUGAAAACAACCCAGGUUGUACACAUUGAUCCUGUUUUCAGCUCUGUACCGGAAAUUUUCAUAGGUAGUCUGGUUUGUGCCUAUGAGGUACAAAUGGAAGCCAGUGAGUCCAGCAACAAACCAGAGGGAGAUAAAACAAUAGGCCAUUAGUAUGACAGAUGCUGGUGAUUCUUUCAUUGCCCUCCAGACUGUGCUUUGGUAAUCAUCCAUUAAAAUUUUAAUGUACACAGCUGACAUGGCAAACACAUAGAUGCAAAGAAGAGUUGCUGAAGAAACAAACAUGAAGAAGUAACGGUAGUUGCGCUGCAAAUGUAAACAGAAUCAGAUUUAAAACAACACUAUACUGGAGGAUUAUUACUAGAGAUAUUCACAAUGUAAAUUGGGCAUAAACAUUGAAUGCAAUAAAGCGAAAAGUUAAAUCCCAGGAAUACAGCAUACCAAACCAAUGCAUUGUCCCACCCAAGGGCAAUGAUGAUCAAAUCGUUCCACGCAAUUGUUACAAAUGGAACAAUGGGAGCAACGGGGAGGACGAUAAAGCAUGCAUGUAUCACAAUACUUCACUCGAACAGGUAUGCCAUUAACCAUAACUUCCUUUGUCCGAGGGAACUGAACGCUAGGUGUUUGUCUUCCCCCAAUCUCAACUGACGUUGAAGAAUCAUAGCGGAACUCUUCCUCUGGUGGAUGUGAAUUACGGGGGAUAACACCAGGAUCUCGAGCUGAUGUGAGAAAAAGAAGAAUCAACACAUAGAUAGUGAAGACGAUUGCCACCACCAAAAUCGCAUAUCCAGCAUUGUACGGUGAAAAUUCAUGGCGAAGGUGCCUCACAACAAAUACACAAAAUAUUACAACUGGAACAAUGAUCAGCAAUAAUGUGAUAAUCAGUGACCGAGCAUCAGGUCCAAAUAUCAACCUCCCACCAAGGAUGAACUUAUUACUUCCUUUCCACACUUCAUAAACGCGCUUCGCCAUGACAGACACUCGCACGCGCCGCCCUCUCUUACUCUUCCACUUAUUACGCAGGCACUGAGUCGAAGAUUUCAAACUCGGUGUUCCCCCUGUUCAUUUCAUUUCAAAAAAAAAAACCAAAGCCAAAAAAUAAUAAAUCAGUGGAGAGGUGAAAUCACAGAGAGGCUGAUUGAAAUAGUAAAUAUGGAAGUUUGGGUCUGGGUUUUUGGCGAUUUUACAGAAACUAUUACACACUGACGAGAUGAGAGAAGAGAGAGAGAGACGAUCUGUAAGAUGGCGGUUUGUGGGUUUUGGAAUUUUGGAAGUUGGGUAUGGCGAGUGUGAGCAUGUGAUUUU
rnacentral:misc_RNA from 1 species